CCCGACUGCUAUCGGAUUGAGAUUUAGCCAUGCGAGUCGAACGUUCCCCUGUUGCGGGGAGCGUGGCAUACGGCUCAGUAACACGUAGUCAACCUGCCCUGGAGACAAGGACAACCCCGGGAAACUGGGAUUAAUCCGUGAUAGGUCAUCUCAUCUGGAAGGAGAGAUGGCUUAAAGGGGUGCGAGAGCUUCUUUCUUGUACUCGCUCCAGGAUGGGACUGCGGCCGAUCAGGCUGUUGGUGGGGUAAUGGCCCACCAAACCUGUAACCGGUACGGGCCUUGAGAGAGGUGGCCCGGAGAUGGACACUGAGACAAGGGUCCAGGUCCUACGGGGCGCAGCAGGCGCGAAACCUUCGCAAUGCGCGAAAGCGUGACGAGGUUAAUCCGAGUGGCUUCCGCUGAGGAAGUCUUUUGCCGACUCUAAAAAGGUCGGAGAAUAAGGGGAGGGCAAGUCUGGUGUCAGCCGCCGCGGUAAUACCAGCUCCUCGAGUGGUCGGGGCGAUUAUUGGGCCUAAAGCAUCCGUAGCCGGUUCCGUAGGUCUUCUGCAAAAUCCAGUCGCUCAACGAUUGGCCCGCAGAAGAUACCGCGGGACUAGGAGGCGGGAGAGGUGGACGGUACUCCACGUGUAGGGGUAAAAUCCUUUGAUCCGUGGAAGACCACCAGUGGCGAAGGCGGUCCACCAGAACGCGCUCGACGGUGAGGGAUGAAAGCUGGGGGAGCGAACCGGAUUAGAUACCCGGGUAGUCCCAGCCGUAAACGAUGCUAGCUAGAUGAUUCAUUCGCAAGUCGCGAAUGAAGUGUCGCAGGGAAGCCGUUAAGCUAGCCGCCUGGGGAGUACGGUCGCAAGACU
rnacentral:rRNA from 1 species